rnacentral:snRNA from 1 species
GGAUGUGAGGGCAAUCUGGCUGGCUAGGCAGGUGUCCCCCUCCUCCCUCACCGAUCCAUGUGCAUCCCUCCCGAAGGUGCGCGCUCGGUCGAAGAAGACGACCUUCCCGCCCCCCACCCCUCCAGGAGAGGACUGGUCUUCGGUCAAGGGUAUAUGAGUAGCUGCGCUCCCCUGCUAGAACCUCCAAACAAGCUCUCAAAAAUAGAUCUCUAGACAUAAAAGCAUCAAACAGACUGUCAAACCUCAGUGAGAUG